rnacentral:rRNA from 1 species
GGAUCAUUAUCGUGGGGCUUCGGCCCUCUCGAGAUAGAACCCUUGCCUUUUUGAGUACCUUCGUUUCCUCGGCAGGCUCGCCUGCCAAUGGGGACCCCAAUAAACCCUUUGUAAUACCUGUAAUCGUCUGACAAAACAAACAAAAAUUAAAACUUUCAACAACGGAUCUCUUGGUUCUGGCAUCGAUGAAGAACGCAGCGAAAUGCGAUAAGUAGUGUGAAUUGCAGAAUUCAGUGAAUCAUCGAAUCUUUGAACGCACAUUGCGCCCUAUGGUAUUCCGUAGGGCAUGCCUGUUCGAGCGUCAUUCAAACCUUCAAGCUCUGCUUGGUGUUGGGCGUCUGUCCUGCCUCACGGCGCGGACUCGCCUCAAAUCUAUUGGCGGCCGGCACGUUGGCUUCGAGCGCAGCAGAAACGCGAACUCGAGACCGGCGGAUCGGCUCCCAGAAGCUACCCCCAUGAAUUUGACCUCGGAUC